rnacentral:rRNA from 1 species
CCUACGGGGGGCUGCAGUGAGGAAUAUUGGUCAAUGGACGAGAGUCUGAACCAGCCAAGUAGCGUGAAGGAUGACUGCCCUAUGGGUUGUAAACUUCUUUUAUAAAGGAAUAAAACGAGGCACGUGUGCCUUUUUGCAUGUACUUUAUGAAUAAGGAUCGGCUAACUCCGUGCCAGCAGCCGCGGUAAUACGGAGGAUCCGAGCGUUAUCCGGAUUUAUUGGGUUUAAAGGGAGCGUAGAUGGGUUGUUAAGUCAGUUGUGAAAGUUUGCGGCUCAACCGUAAAAUUGCAAUUGAUACUGGCAGUCGUGAGUACAGUUGAGGUAAGCGGAAUUCGUGGUGUAGCGGUGAAAUGCUUAGAUAUCACGAAGAACCCCGAUUGCGAAGGCAGCUUACUAAACUGUGACUGACAUUGAUGCUCGAAAGUGUGGGUAUCAAACAGGAUUAGAUACCCGGGUAGUC